rnacentral:rRNA from 1 species
GAUGAACGCUGGCGGCGUGCCUAAUACAUGCAAGUCGAGCGAACGGACGAGAAGCUUGCUUCUCUGAUGUUAGCGGCGGACGGGUGAGUAACACGUGGAUAACCUACCUAUAAGACUGGGAUAACUUCGGGAAACCGGAGCUAAUACCGGAUAAUAUUUUGAUCCGCAUGGUUCAAAAGUGAAAGACGGUCUUGCUGUCACUUAUAGAUGGAUCCGCGCUGCAUUAGCUAGUUGGUAAGGUAACGGCUUACCAAGGCAACGAUGCAUAGCCGACCUGAGAGGGUGAUCGGCCACACUGGAACUGAGACACGGUCCAGACUCCUACGGGAGGCAGCAGUAGGGAAUCUUCCGCAAUGGGCGAAAGCCUGACGGAGCAACGCCGCGUGAGUGAUGAAGGUCUUCGGAUCGUAAAACUCUGUUAUUAGGGAAGAACAUAUGUGUAAGUAACUGUGCACAUCUUGACGGUACCUAAUCAGAAAGCCACGGCUAACUACGUG